CCUACGGGUGGCAGCAGUGAGGAAUAUUGGUCAAUGGACGAGAGUCUGAACCAGCCAAGUAGCGUGAAGGAUGACUGCCCUAUGGGUUGUAAACUUCUUUUAUAUGGGAAUAAAAUGUUCCACGUGUGGGAUUUUGUAUGUACCAUAUGAAUAAGGAUUGGCUAACUCCGUGCCAGCAGCCGCGGUAAUACGGAGGAUCCGAGCGUUAUCCGGCUUUAUUGGGUUUAACGGGAGCGUAGGUGGAUUGUUAAGUCAGUUGUGAAAGUUUGCGGCUCAACCGUAAAAUUGCAGUUGAAACUGGCAGUCUUGAGUACAGUAGAUGUGGGCGUAAUUCGUGGUGUAGCGGUGAAAUGCUUAGAUAUCACGAAGAACUCCGAUUGCGAAGGCAGUUCACUGGACUGCAACUGACACUGAUGCUCGAAAGUGUGGGUAUCAAACAGGAUUAGAUACCCGAGUAGUC
rnacentral:rRNA from 1 species